rnacentral:tmRNA from 1 species
GGGGGCGAUCGGCAUCGACCGGAUGCUGUCACGACGGGAGUGGCGUGCCGAGGUCCGGGAGGCCUCGUAAAACACCCGGAACGUUUGUAAGUGCCAAUCAGCACUUCGCUCUGGCUGCCUGAGAUAGCGUAGCCACGUCGCAGGCUCUUCGUCCGGGGGAGCCGGCGGCGCUACACACCGGACUGGUCUGCGCCGGUUGCUCGUCACGGCGCGGGUGAGAUCCAGAUCGAGCUGGAUCGCGCGGAUCCUGGCCGUGGGAGCCGCGAGGUCGACACCAAUCCACGGCCUAUGCACGUAGAGGCUUCCGCCGGGGCAUCUCGGGACGCGGGUUCGAUUCCCGCCGCCUCCACCA